UGGCUAGUGUUGUUGACUUCGAGCAGCGCGGGCUCCCUUGCACAAGCUGUGCCUUUCGGGGUGGCUUCUUCCUUGCUCCGGUCGUCGGAAAAGCCUAGCUCUGCCUACCUUCUCUGGCUUUAGAGUGCUGCGGCCUAUUCGUCGUCGUUGGAGCGGGCGGAAGUUUAUCUUGGUAGUUGCAUUUUGUUCGUUGGUAGCUUUGUGCCUAGCUUUGUUAGGCUGUUGCUCAGUGUUAGGGCUUUUGUACGGUUUUUCUUAAUAAGUCGUGCUCUUUGGGUCUUCGCCGGUUUUCCCUUAAUUAAUCGAACUUGUAUGGUUUUCGGGUCCGGUUUCCUCAUAAACUGGAUCACCUUUCCCGCAGUCGGAUUCUUUCGGCUACGUCUAUUGACAAUAAAUAACCCGCUGAUGGUUGUUUCAUCAAAAAAAAAAAGUUUCUUUUAGCACUGCCCAGAUUUCCUUAACAUAAUGGC
rnacentral:lncRNA from 1 species